CAUUUCUAUACAUUCCCCAAACGUUUAUGCAGCAACUUAAAGGCCAGUCACUGCUUAAUGCUUUACGGAUAUUAACUCGUGGAAUCAACCGAGCAAUCCAAUUUAUAGAUAACAACAUUGAAGCCCAGAGAAGUUAAAUAACUUGCCUGGGGUCACGGAGAAGGUGGCAGACCUGGCCCUCACACCAGGCAGCCCAGUCCCAGAGGCCUGUCUUCCCGGCUCCGCUGCUGAUUACUGAACUCAGAAAGUGCCAGGCCUGUGCUAAGGGUAUUCGUGCUAGCAACAGAUCCUCCCAUCUCACCUAUGACGUGAGUGCUAUUCUGCACACAGGAGGAAACCGAGGUAUGGAAAGGCACAGCGACUUACCCGGAACACUAGUAAACAGUAAAGCAGGGAUCUGAGUGCAGAAGGAGGUUUUUAGCCUCUUCUGAUAAGAACAUAUGAUAAGAACAAAUUCUGUACGUGCUCAUAGCCAGUACCAACAACCAGAUGCACAUGCUCAGUGUGAGCCAGGCCCUGACACCUGCUGCUUCCUGCAUCCUCAGGUGAGUUCUACUACCACCUUCAUCUGCCAACAUGGAAACAAAGGCUCAGAGAGGUCAGGUUGCUUGCCCAAAGCCAUGCGGCUAAUAAUUAAUGCCCAGACUCAAAUCCAAGAGCAUCCACUGUGUAGCAGACUGCCUUUGGUGACCCUCCACGUCGCUCCCCGUACAGAUCCCACCCCACACUCACUCUGGUCUGUGCCAGAGCUGCCUUUGACCAAUGGAAUGUGGGGAAAAUGACACAGUGCUGUUCCAGGCCUUGCCCGUGAAUGGCCUGCAGCUUCUGCUUCCUCCCUCCUGGAAAUCUGGCUUUUGGGAGCUCUGAGUCACCAUGUGAGAAACCCAGCUACCCUUGGUUUAGUCACCUCUGUAAAGCCCCCUUUGCUGUGUAAGGUAACAUACUCAACAAGUUAGGGACUGGGAUGUGGCCGCUGGCGGAAGUGGGGCAUGAUGCUGCUGCCUGUGAGUGCUACACUACAAUAAGGACCAGCAUGCUCUGACGGGAUAAGCAGAAACCAGCUGGAACCUGCCAGCUGCCCUGAGACAUCCCAUAGCUCCUCUGGAAGUGUCAGCAAGUGCCCUUUGCAAGAGCUGCCUCAACCUGCCUGGCAACAUCAACCUCCUUUAUUUAUUUCUCCCCUGGAAAUCUUUGUUUAAAAAGAUCCUUGCCUCCGCGACAUGCAACAUAGUGCAUGCAUCAUCAAUGAGUUCCGCUUUGGGGAUUUGCUGAUCUUCCCUCAGGCAGAUGCACCUACCACUCCAGCCUCUCCUGUGAGAACAUGCACAGCCGGGCCUACUCUGCUGAGCGAACCCAGCCAAAGGCACAGUCGCUAGAUGUGCUUGCUGGUCAGCUCGGGAGGCCUGAUCUGGGAGAGCACAAAGAUGCUACUGGCUCUGGGAAAUUCUAAUCACACAGGCUGGGGGCCACAGCGAAGGGCCAUUAGCAGUGUUAAGAUAAUAACAACACAAUAAAAAAAGUGUAAAGAUUAAAGUCAGUGUGCUCCAACACCUAAUAGCAUCUCCAGCUAAAACUGUCCCAGACUGAGCUCCCGGUCCUUUCUGUGAAACCUGCCCCUCCUCCAGUCUGCCAUGUCCCACCCAAUCCACAGGAAAUCCUGCGGCUCUACCCUCCAAACAAAUCUCCUGGUUAUUCACUACUAAGGGGAAAAGGAAAGGUUCUCUCAGUGCUCACUACCUUAACCAAGGGAUCCAAGUUAGCGUCACAAAUGACGGAAGUGACGGACAGCAGGAGCCCCCUGAGGUGAUGUCCUUAGGACACACCAGCAAAUCUGUGGUGUUACUGCCAAAGAUGCUCGACGGGAACCCGAUCAGAGGAAACGAUCAGAAAACUCCAGAUUGUGGGACACUCUAAGGGGCAACUGGCUUGGACUCUUCCAAAUGUCAUGAAAAACGAGAAAGGACAGGGAUGCUGUUACAGAGCAGGGUCAGCAAACAUUUUCUGUAAAGGGCCACAGAGUAAAUAUUUUAGAUUUGUGGGCCACACGAUACGCAAAAAUAUGUGAUUAUGGUUAGCAACUGUACUGGUAACCAUACCAUAUUUUGAUUUCUCCAAUUGUCCCCCAAAUGCCCUUUGUACUGCUUAUUAUUUUUUUUUAAUCUAGAGUCUACUCGAGGAUCAUGCACUGCAUUUGAUUAUCAUGCCUCUUUGGUAUUCUUUAAUCUACGGCAAGGCUCAGCAAUCCUGCCCACUGCCUGCCUUUGUAAAUAAAGUUUUAUUGAAAUACAACCAUACGCAUUUGUUUGCCCACAGGCCCUGCAUGAUCUGCCUGCCCUUCUUAUCACCACCGGUUUUCCCUCUGCCCUCGGUCCCCACUUAGUCUCUCUGCUCAGCUACGAUGGCCUCGCUGUUGGCCAAACGUGCCACGCUCACUCUCUCCUGCCUUCAAACACUCCUUCUGCAUCCCUGAUGUUUUCUCCAAAGCAGUUAUUAUUAUCUAAUAUACUUAAUAUUUUAAUUAGUGAUUUUGUUUAUUGUCUGGCUUCCCUUACCCCGAGAAUUAAAGUCCCUGAGGACAAGAUUUUUUGCCUUUUCUUUUCUGCUGUAUCCACAUGUACACAAUAGCCACAAUUUAGUGCCAACCUCUGACUUAACACCGUAUAUCCAUUUAUUCCUCACAAUAUAAAAAUUAUUCAUAGCAUAAAUGCAUAUAUAAUAUACAGUACACAAAAUGGGAUUAAUGACAGUAUCAAUCUCAUAAUAAUUUGUGAGGAUUCAAUGCUAGAAGCCCUGUGAAGUGCUUACCACACACUGUGGUACAAAGCAUGUGCCCAUUCAAUGUUCCUAUUAUAUAGUGCCCACUCUGCAGAAGAAGAAACUGAAGCUUAGAGGGGUUAAGUGACCUGCCCAAGCUACCCAAAUGGGAAGGGGUGGGGCCCAGAAUGGAACCCACGUCAGUCUAACUCGAGAAGCCACUUUGUACACCACAGUGCUAAGACAUAUCACGGCUUGAGAACAAGGCAGUGGCAGGAAACAGAAACCAGCUCUGGGAAUCCACAGCACGGGAUUUCAGUCCUGCCUCUGGCACAAACUCACAUGCGACCUCAGCAAUUCACUUCUGUCUCAAGGCCUGCGUUUUCUCUUCUAUAAACUGGGGAAAGUCAUUUCCCCUCCAUGACAUGGGGAUAAAAUGAGAUAGGUGACAUGAAAGGACUUGGUAACUGUGCAAACCAACACUCUUCCAAUCUAAGAUGUGCAGCACUGGCAGAGAGUUCACCAAACACCAAUGGAUUAAGAAUUUUAGGCCCUGGAAUGCAAACUUUAAACACCCAAAUUUAUAAGGAAAAAAACGUGUAUUCCUCUUAACCAUUUGGCCUUUGUAUGUGUCCCUCCUUCUUCCUCCACGUCAUCCUUGUCCCCGUGUUGUCUGGUGAGGCUCUCCUCACCCUUCAGGUUCCAGCUCAGAGGUCUCCUCUGCCAAGAAGCCCUUCCUGAACCCCAAGCCAGGUCAGGCAUCCAGUGGGCUCUUCCAUCCCAGCUCUGCUCAUUUUAGGUCAUCACUCUUGCAGGAUGGGUCUGUCCCCACUAGACUGUGAGCUCCUUGAGGGCACAGACUGAGGUGAUUUGGUCCCUGCUGUUUCACCGACACUGCCCAGCACAAGGCCAGGCAGAGCUGAUGCUCAGAAAAUACUAGCUAAAUGAAGUGAUGGAUGGAUAGAUGAAUGGUGGUUCUCUGAUCCAGCAAAUUACUUUAAAUGUCCUUAUUUUAUGCUGACAUAGACCUAUAGCAUAUAGUUCAUCUUUUAAAAGUAGCUCGUUAUUUUGAGUGUGUACUAUGCCCUUCAGAUCUCAGCUUGGGCUGCCCUCCUCUAGACAGCCUUCCUGGCACCAUGCCCCUGGAUCAGAUGGCCUCUCUGAGAUCCGAAGUUCCCACCACCCUGACCACUCUGGCUUGACGGGUCAUGAGUGUGUCUCCCAGCACUCAGCAAAGCGCCAGCACAGUAUGUCUACUGAAUGGAUGGACGAAUAAACACGAUGUGUCACUGGAUUAAUGAAUAGAUGAAUGAAUGUUCGCUCUGAUUAAAACCACCCUUUUGCCAGAUUCCCAGGCCACGUCCCCGGACCCCAACUUCGCCCUGAGCCACACUUCUAAGCCAGGCCUCCUUCCCGGAGUAUAACUGGGGCAAACCGAUGUCCUAAACGGAUGAUGUACAAGGACCUCUCACCUCCAAGACGGGAGGAAAACUGAGGCACGAGAUGGAGUUAGGGAAGCUCAGGCACCAAAGGAUGGCCUGGCAAAUGACCCCGUCUGGUCCCUCCUCAGCUCGGCCCCUAGCUCCACUCUGUCCUGGAAUACCUCGCCCAAAUUACUCUCGUCCCCCACACUAUUGGCUCGCCUAGACAUCAGUCUCCAUGCGCUCUCUUCCUCUAUUGGCCAGUAUUUUCAACACGGGAGCGGGCGCUCUGCCCCACCCCUUAGGACAAACCCGUCCUUACGAUUGGACUACCCGCAUGCCCUUAUCCCAGGAACCCUCCCUAUUGGCUGCAAGACUUUGCCGGUUCGAGCUGUGAUUGGUCGUGAACCCGGAGCAACCACCUAAGAGGGGUUGGAGAAUGGAAAGGUUGGAGGGACACGGGGUCAGACUCACGCUGAGCCGGCGGGAGGCAGAUAUAGGUCUUGAAGAACUCGCUUCGGCGGGCGGCCUCCUUCAUGCGGUUGGCAAGCGGCUUGCUGAUCUGCCGGAUGCCCAAACACGGAGAAGGGGCCCAGAGAGGCUGGGUCACUUCCCACGAGGGACCUGCUGUGCAGUCUUGGACUUCUCCCUUCCCCCACCUGGGCCAACAGCAAGGCAGUGAUGGAACCAGAACCGGAACCCUGGCUGGAGCCAGCCUCCCACUCCUAACCCGGGGCACCCCAUUCUGGACCGUGCUGUCGAUGGUGAUAGUAACAGCUGGAGCUUACGAGUCCUACUUCCUAGCAGACCCUGUUCUAAGCACUUUAAUGGGUAUAAAUUCAUUAAAAUUUAUUGAACCGCGU